rnacentral:rRNA from 1 species
AUUGAACGCUGGCGGCAGGCCUAACACAUGCAAGUCGAAUGGUAACAGGAAACAGCUUGCUGUUUCGCUGACGAGUGGCGGACGGGUGAGUAAUGUCUGGGAAACUGCCUGAUGGAGGGGGAUAACUACUGGAAACGGUAGCUAAUACCGCAUAACGUCGCAAGACCAAAGAGGGGGACCUUCGGGCCUCUUGCCAUCAGAUGUGCCCAGAUGGGAUUAGCUAGUAGGUGGGGUAACGGCUCACCUAGGCGACGAUCCCUAGCUGGUCUGAGAGGAUGACCAGACACGCUGGAAGUGAGACACGGUCCAGACUCCUACGGGAGGCAGCAGUGGGGAAUAGUGAACAAGGGGCGAAAGCCUGAUGCAGACAUGCCGGGUGUAUGAAGAAGGCCUUCGGGUUGGAAAGUACUUUCAGCGGGGAGGAAGGGAGUAAAGUUAAUACCUUUGCUCAUUGACGUUACCCGCAGAAGAAGCACCGGCUAACUCCG